UAGGCAGUAGCUCAGUGAUACAGCUCCCACUUCGUAUGAGAGAAUGCCUGGGUUCGAUUCCCGGAUGCUUAA
rfam:Toxocara canis scaffold1567, whole genome shotgun sequence.